GACGAACGCUGGCGGCGUGCCUAAUACAUGCAAGUCGAACGCUGAAGGAGGAGCUUGCUUCUCUGGCUGAGUUGCGAACGGGUGCGUAACGCGUAGGUAACCUGACUGGCAGUGGGGGAUAACUUUUGGUAACGAUAGCUAAUACCGCAUAAUAGUAGAUGUCGCAUGACAUUCGCUUAAACGGUGCAAUUGCCUCACUACCAGAUGGCCAUGCGUUGUAUUAGCUAGUUGGGGGGGGAACGGCCCAACAAGGCCACGAUACAUAGCCGGCCUGAGAGGGAGAUCGACCAAACUGGGACUGGGACACGGCCCAGGCUCCGUCGGGGGGCAGCAGGAGGGAAUCUUCGGAAAUUGGCGGAAAGCUGACCGAAGAACGCCGCGGGAGGGAAAAAGGGUCUCGGGUCGGAAAACCCUGUUGUAAGGGAAGAACGAGUGGGAGAGUGGAAAGUUCACGCUGUGACGGUACCUAACCAGAAAGGAACGGCUAACUACGUG
rnacentral:rRNA from 1 species